AGCUUUGCACAGUGGCAGUAUCGUAGCCAAUGAGGUUUAUCCAAGGCACGAUUAUUGCUAAUUGAAAAACCUUUAUAUAGUAUUGUAAAUAGUAGACUGCAAUGAAGUGUAGGAUAAUUAUGUAAAAAGCAUUCAUAUU
ensembl:snRNA U4 U4 spliceosomal RNA